GUGUAUCUUUCAACUUGGUUUUUAUGUUUUAGCUUCAGAAAGCAAAAGGUGAGCAGAAACGCUUGAGAAGGAGAGAGACCAACCCUUACAGAAACUGCAUGAUCUUGAACCUCCCCAGCAGUCUUGCUGGUCCAGCCAAAGUGAUAGCUCCUCAACCAAACUUACAACAGGACAAAUUUCCCCUGGGCUGCAAUGAUGGAACAUUCCUAGCGAGGCAGAUUAAUGUUUGUGACUCAGAUUUGGAAGACACGGAAGGGUCCAUUUGAGGAGGAGAGGGGAGCCAUCUUCUGGAGUGAUCAUUAUCCACUGUGAAAAUCCAUACUGCACUAACUUAAUAAACUUUAAUACAUGCA